rnacentral:rRNA from 1 species
CUUGACGCUGGCGGCAGGCCUACACAUGCCAGUCGAGCGGAUGAAGGGAGCUUGCUCCUGGAUUCAGCGGCGGACGGGUGAGUAAUGCCUAGGAAUCUGCCUGGUAGUGGGGGAUAACGUCCGGAAACGGGCGCUAAUACCGCAUACGUCCUGAGGGAGAAAGUGGGGGAUCUUCGGACCUCACGCUAUCAGAUGAGCCUAGGUCGGAUUAGCUAGUUGGUGGGGUAAAGGCCUACCAAGGCGACGAUCCGUAACUGGUCUGAGAGGAUGAUCAGUCACACUGGAACUGAGACACGGUCCAGACUCCUACGGGAGGCAGCAGUGGGGAAUAUUGGACAAUGGGCGAAAGCCUGAUCCAGCCAUGCCGCGUGUGUGAAGAAGGUCUUCGGAUUGUAAAGCACUUUAAGUUGGGAGGAAGGGCAGUAAGUUAAUACCUUGCUGUUUUGACGUUACCA